rnacentral:rRNA from 1 species
UCAAGAAAGAAAGGGCACAAGGUGAAUGCCUUGGCACAUGAAGGCGACGAAGGACGUAAGUGAACGAAAGCCAUGGGGAGCUCACAAAAAGCACUGAUCCAUGGGAAUCCGAAUGGGGAAACCCGUAUGAUGAAGAAUCAUACAUCCUAAAGUGAAUACAUAGCUUUAGGAAGCGAGACCCUGCGAACUGAAACAUCUAAGUAGCAGGAGGAAGAGAAAGAAACAUCGAUUUUCCUAGUAGCGGCGAGCGAAGAGAAAAGAGCCGAACUCUGUAGAAUGAGAUACUAUCUAGUCAAACUAGUUGGGAAACUAGACCAAAGAAAGUGAAAGUCUUGUAGAUAAAAGAUAAUAUCUCAUAGAGGGAAAGUAGCAUCGAACACGAGUAAUUCGGUGUGAAGAUAGGGGGCCCAUCCCCUAAGGCUAAAUACUAACAUGUGACCGAUAGUGAACAAGUACCGUGAGGGAAAGGUGAAAAGAACCCCGAAAGGGGAGUGAAAGAGAACCUGAAACCUAGUGCCUACAAGCAGACAGAGGGGGUAAGACCCUGAUGUCGUACCUUUUGUAGAAUGGGCCAGCGAGUUAUUCUAAGCUGCGAGGUUAAUAAUUUAAGAUUAGAAGCCGAAGCGAAAGCGAGUCUGAAUAGGGCGACUAGUAGAAUAGAAUAGACCCGAAACCGGGUGAUCUAUCCAUGGCCAGAGUGAAGUUGAAGUAAAAUUCAAUGGAGGCUCGAACCGGGUAUGGUUUAAAACAUAUCGGAUGAGUUGUGGAUAGGGGUGAAAAGCCAAACGAACUCGGAGAUAGCUGGUUCUCCUCGAAAUAGCUUUAGGGCUAGCCUUUGAUUGAAGAUUUAAGGAGGUAGAGCACUGAAUGGUCUAGGGCGAGAUAUCGUACCAAAACCUAUCAAACUCCAAAUGCCAAAAAAUCAGAUCAAGGAGUCAGACUUAGAGGGAUAAGCUCCUAAGUCGAAAGGGAAACAGCCCAGACCGACAGCUAAGGUCCCAAAAUUUGAAUUAAGUGGAAAAGGAUGUGAACCUACUAAGACAACCAGGACGUUGGCUUAGAAGCAGCCAUGCAUUUAAAGAAUGCGUAAUAGCUCACUGGUCAAGUGGGUUUGCGCCGAAAAUGAACGGGGCUAAAAUUCAAUACCGAAGCUUCGGAUUAAUAGAGGAAUUAAACUAAAGUAUGAGAAGUUGACCAAGAAAUAUGUUUUCAAAAGAUAAACACAAGAUAAAAACGAGAAAUCAAAAAGAAAUCAAACAAUAUACGCACACUAAGAUAAAAGAGUAGUUAGGAAACUAACACGAGUAAUAAAGAUAAGAAUUAAAAUAAAAAGGUCGAAAAGACCUAGCGUACAAUAAUACUGGUUAACGAGUAAAACAAAUAUCUCAUAGUCUAGUUUAAUACCUCUAUUAGUGGUAGAGGAGCAUUGUAUUAGGGAAGAAGCCAAGGCGAAAGCAAAAGUGGACUUAAUACAAGAGAGAAUGCUGGCAUGAGUAGCGAGAAGGGAUGUGAGAAUCAUCCCCGUCGAAACCCUAAGGACUCCUGAGCAAGGCUCGUCCCCUCAGGGAAAGUCGGGCCCUAAGCCGAGGCUGAAAAGCGUAGGCGAUGGACAACAGGUUUAUAUUCCUGUACCGCUUGAAGUCGUUUAAGAGAAGUGAUGACGCAAAAGGAUAGCUAAAGCCAUCGGAUGGAAGAGAUGGUCUAAGGGCGUAGGAAGAUAAGUAGGCAAAUCCGCUUAUCAGAAAUUCUAAAACCCGAUAGGAACCGAAAAAACAAGUAGGAAAGUUAGUAACUCCAAGUUGCCAAGAAAAGUCACUAUCAAGACAAGAGCGCCCGUACCAAAACCGACACAGGUAGGGAGGUAGAGAAUACCAAGACGCGCGGAAGAACCUUUGUUAAGGAACUCGGCAAAAUGUCCCCGUAACUUCGGGAGAAGGGGAGCCAUAGCGAUAUGGCCACAGAAACCAGGCCCAAGCGACUGUUUACCAAAAACACAAGUUUCUGCAAAAUCGAAAGAUGAAGUAUAGGAGCUGACACCUGCCCGGUGCUGGAAGGUUAAGGGGAAGGCUUAGGAGUAAUCCGAAGGCUAGAACUUAAGCCCCAGUAAACGGCGGCCGUAACUAUAACGAACGGCGGCCGUAACUAUAACGGUCCUAAGGUAGCGAAAUUCCUUGUCGGGUAAGUUCCGACCCGCACGAAAGGUGUAACGAUUUGGGCACUGUCUCAACAAAGGAUCCGGUGAAAUUGUAGUAGUCGUGAAGAUGCGACUUACCCACGCUAGGACGGAAAGACCCCGUGGAGCUUUACUGUAGGCUGAUAUUGGAUUUUGAGAUUAAAUGUACAGGAUAGGUGGGAGACUAGGAAUCAUGGAUGCCAAUCUGUGAGGAGUCGCUGGUGGGAUACCACCCUUUUAAUAUCAGAGUUCUAACCAUAAACCUUGAAACAGGUAAUGGGACAUUGUCAGUUGGGCAGUUUGACUGGGGCGGUCGCCUCCUAAAAAGUAACGGAGGCGUUCAAAGGUUCGCUCAGAAUGGACGGAAACCAUUCGCAGAGUAUAAAGGCAUAAGCGAGCUUAACUGCGAGAGCUACAACUCAAGCAGAGUAGAAAUACGGACUUAGUGAUCCGGUGGUACCGCAUGGAAGGGCCAUCGCUCAACGGAUAAAAGCUACCCCGGGGAUAACAGGCUUAUCUCCCCCAAGAG